GAGUUUGAUCGUGGCUCAGGAUGAACGCUAGCGGCAGGCUUGACACAUGCAAGUCGAGGGGUAUAGGUUUUCGGACCUAGAGACCGGCGCACGGGUGCGUAACGCGUAUGCAAUCUACCUUUUACAGAGGGAUAGCCCAGAGAAAUUUGGAUUAAUACCUCAUAGUAUUAUGAUAAGGCAUCUUAUUAUAAUUAAAGUUCCAACGGUAAAAGAUGAGCAUGCGUCCCAUUAGCUAGAUGGUAAGGUAACGGCUUACCAUGGCGACGAUGGGUAGGGGUCCUGAGAGGGAGAUCCCCCACACUGGUACUGAGACACGGACCAGACUCCUACGGGAGGCAGCAGUGAGGAAUAUUGGUCAAUGGGCGCAAGCCUGAACCAGCCAUGCCGCGUGCAGGAUGACGGUCCUAUGGAUUGUAAACUGCUUUUGUACAGGAAGAAACAGUUCUACGUGUAGAACCUUGACGGUACUGUAAGAAUAAGGAUCGGCUAACUCCGUGCCAGCCGCCGCCGU
rnacentral:rRNA from 1 species